rnacentral:rRNA from 1 species
CAUGCAAGUCGAACGAGAAAGCGUUCUUCGGAACGCGAGUACAGCGGCGGACGGGUGAGUAACACGUGGGGAACCUGCCCACAAGCUGGGAACAACCCGCCUAACGGCGGGCUAAUACCGAAUGUGGUUGUCAAUCCGCAUGGUAUGACAACUAAAGGUGGCCUCUCCUUGGAAGCUGCCGCUUGUGGAUGGCCCCGCGCUCAAUUAGCUAGUUGGUAGGGUAACGGCCUACCAAGGCUACGAUUGAUAGCCGACCUGAGAGGGUGAUCGGCCACACUGGGAUUGAGAUAAGGCCCAGUCUCCUACGGGAGCCAGCAGUCUAGAAAUUUGGGCAAUGGGCAAAAGCCUGACCCAGCGACGCCGCGUGGGGGAUGAAGCUUCUCGGAGUGUAAACCCCUGUUUGGUGGGACGAAAGCCCGUAUAUGAAUAGUAGGCGGGUUUGACGGUACCACCCGAGGAAGCUCCGGCUAACUCCGUGCCAGCAGCCGCGGUAAUACGGGGGGAGCAAGCGUUGUUCGGAGUUAUUGGGCGUAAAGGGCGUACAGGCGGUGGUGUAAGUCAGAUGUGAAAUUCCCCGGCUCAACCGGGGACCUGCAUUUGAUACUGCAUCACUUGAGUACAGGAGAGGAGAGCGGAAUUUUCGGUGUAGCGGUGGAAUGUGUAGAUAUCGAAAAGAACACCAGUGGCGAAGGCGGCUCUCUGGCCUGAUACUGACG